ensembl:ncRNA C09D8.11 ncRNA
UCAAAAUUGAACUUUUUUUUGAAUAUUUCAUGGCUCGGAAUGCUUUUAGUGAAGAAGAAGAAGAAGCAAAAGGUCAGUUGUUUUAUAAAACAAACUUUUAGAGAAGCAGCAGAAAAAAGGGGAUGGUCAGGUGGUCUAGGAAGAUA